UUCAAAGGCUACAUGGAUGUUCUGUGAAUUGGGUCUCAGCAUCCAGCUGAAGACUCGGUGGCCAAUGUGACCCACUGGCUUGUGGAAGGACUGUCUGACACAGGGGGUUCAAUUGAAACUGAGAAGUUGGUGCAUGCAAAUUCCUCAAUUUUAUUGAUCCUAAAAGUCUAUCCAUCACAGCCUUUUUUCUGAACAAAUAUCCACAGCCUUUGGACGAGGAAGGCAGUGCCUGAGGAAAUCUCUAACAUUGACUCUAAGCUUCUUCAAGAUUCAGUUGUUAAAAUCAAUGUUCAAAGCAGCCACAAGUAAGAGAAACACAAUUGAACGCAUUGAAAAACUGCACACAACGAAGACCAUCAAAUACGCAAUAUGCAAAAAAAGAACAAAUCGUGCAAACAAGACUGAAGUAAACAAGUAAAAGGCAGAACAUGAACUGCAGAGUCCAGGAAAGUCAGUCCGUUAUGCUGAGGCAAAUGAAGCUGGUCCAGGAGCCUGAUGGCUGCAGGCCAUACCCAUGGAGCCAGACCCCGGUAUAAAGGCGACCAAGGCCUGAGACCGGCCUGUCAGUCUCCAGGAUGUAGUAUGGUGGUCACUCACUGCUUGUUCCUUCUUCCAGUCAAUAAAAGCCGAU